UUUUCCUGGUCGCCUUUUUGUCACUCACGUCUUCCAGUGCGGUUCUAUCCAUAUCAGGAUCUUCAGUGGAUUCAUUUUCUUCCAAAUGCUUCCUCAGGAAAUGAGCACGGGCGUUUGAAUGGGACGAGUAGUUUUUAAAGCACCACUCAUUAGAUGAGGUGCAUUGAUAUCUAGUUAAAAAAAUACAACAAUUUAAGAGAUGGCAUGAUUAAUUGAUAAUUAAAGCAUGG